GUUGUACUGUACCGACUUUACCCUUUCUGUGUGUGGACCAAAAUCAGGUUUAAUUUUUCUCCAUAAAUUGAAACCAGCUGUCAGUCCUUCUGCACACAGAAA